AGGCAGCAGUGGGGAAUUUUGGACAAUGGGCGCAAGCCUGAUCCAGCAAUGCCGCGUGCAGGAAGAAGGCCUUCGGGUUGUAAACUGCUUUUGUACGGAACGAAACGGUCCUGGUUAAUACCUGGGGCUAAUGACGGUACCGUAAGAAUAAGCACCGGCUAACUACGUGCCAGCAGCCGCGGUAAUACGUAGGGUGCGAGCGUUAAUCGGAAUUACUGGGCGUAAAGCGUGCGCAGGCGGUGCUGUAAGACAGGCGUGAAAUCCCCGGGCUCAACCUGGGAAUUGCGCUUGUGACUGCAGUGCUGGAGUACGGCAGAGGGGGAUGGAAUUCCGCGUGUAGCAGUGAAAUGCGUAGAUAUGCGGAGGAACACCGAUGGCGAAGGCAGUCCCCUGGGCCUGUACUGACGCUCAUGCACGAAAGCGUGGGGAGCAAACAGGAUUAGAUACCCUGGUAGUCCACGCCCUAAACGAUGUCAACUGGUUGUUGGGAAUUUACUUUCUCAGUAACGAAGCUAACGCGUGAAGUUGACC
rnacentral:rRNA from 1 species